AUACGUAGGGGGCGAGCGUUGUCCGGAAUGAUUGGGCGUAAAGGGCGCGUAGGCGGCCCGGUAAGUCUGGAGUGAAAGUCCUGUUUUUAAGAUGGGAAUUGCUUUGGAUACUGUCGGGCUUGAGUGCAGGAGAGGUAAGUGGAAUUCCCAGUGUAGCGGUGAAAUGCGUAGAGAUUGGGAGGAACACCAGUGGCGAAGGCGACUUACUGGACUGUAACUGACGCUGAGGCGCGAAAGUGUGGGGAGCAAACAGGAUUAGAUACCCUGGUAGUCCACACUGUAAACGAUGAAUGCUAGGUGUAGGGGGUAUCGACCCCUUCUGUGCCGCAGUCAACACAAUAAGCAUUCCACCUGGGGAGUACGGCCGCAAGGUUGAAACUCAAAGGAAUUGACGGGG
rnacentral:rRNA from 1 species